rnacentral:rRNA from 1 species
ACGAACGCUGGCGGCGUGCUUAACACAUGCAAGUCGAACGGUGAAGGGAUCAGCUUGCUGGUUCUGGAUGAGUGGCGAACGGGUGAGUAACACGUGAGUAACCUGCCCCCUUCUUCUGGAUAACCGCAUGAAAGUGUGGCUAAUACGGGAUAUUCUGCGCCUGCUGCAUGGUGGGUGUGGGAAAGAUAUUGUUUCGGUGGGGGAUGGGCUCGCGGCCUAUCAGCUUGUUGGUGGGGUGAUGGCCUACCAAGGCGGUGACGGGUAGCCGGCCUGAGAGGGUGGACGGUCACACUGGGACUGAGACACGGCCCAGACUCCUACGGGAGGCAGCAGUGGGGAAUAGUGCACAAUGGGCGCAAGCCUGAUGCAGCGACGCCGCGUGAGGGAUGGAGGCCUUCGGGUUGUGAACCUCUUUCGCCAGUGAAGCAGGCCUGUCCCUUGUGGGUGGGUUGACGGUAGCUGGAUAAGAAGCGCCGGCUAACUACGUG